CCUCGUUCAACUACUCCAAAUUUCUCGGGCGGAACGCGCUCACCGGUUGGUUCUAUUAUUAAAUCCCUGUUGUUGAAGAAAUUCUCCCUCGAGCCCCCUUCGAGGCGUUGGGAACCCUCAGUGAUAGUUCGGCAACCACUGAACUCGCAGACCACUGUCUUCCACCUCCUACUCCUCUCGAUCCAUAACAUCCUCUCGAGAUUGGCCUCCGGGGCAGAAGCCUUGAUGGGAGAACUCCUCGAAAGGGCAGAAAGACUGAAGGUGGCAGGGAGCCGACGGAGAUGGCAAAGAUUGGUGCGAAGAAUGCCC
rnacentral:lncRNA from 1 species